GGCGCCCGCACUCGCAGCCCCGCGCUCGGCGCCGGCCGCGCCAUGGGGGAGGGGCGGGGCGGGCCGCGCGAGACCCGGGAAACAUGGCUGCUCGUCCUAUUUCGGCGUCGCGGCGUGGCCACCAGCCCCCGGAUCCGCGUUGGGAGAGGCUCCGAAGAGGCUCCCGCGCCGGCGGAAUUCAAUCAAUAAACCCCGAACCCACGGCCGCGCGUUUUAGGACUUUGAAGGCUCAACCAGCUCCGCUCGGUUCUCGAGCCCCCAGCACCCGCGGCGCACACUAACCUGAUCACGGUGGAGGCGGGACCCGCGGGCCGGCGGAUGAGCGGCAACAGCUGGAGCCAAUCGCCGCCGAGGGUCUCCGGGCAACAGCCAAUGGUGGUGGCGGCGGGGGGGGAAGGGACCAAUGGGCGGGCUGCGCAGCCGGCCAGGGAGGCUCAGCCAUUUGGUUGUGGUGCCGGAGACGGACCCCUUUAGAUUUCGGGGCGGCUGAGGAGCGCGGCGGCUGCUUGGUGGCUGAGCUAGGGGGGUGGGCAGAAUGGCGGGGGAAGGGAAGGUGACUGUGCCUCGAGAGCCGAGCCGCUCGGCCUCGCCAGUCCGGGGCCGCCUCAGCGUUUGGCCGGGGGCGGGGCCGCAGAUCCAGCCGCGGCCAUCGCUGUCCCUUUAAUAAACAAGUAAAUGAAAGCAAGAUGCGUCCACCUUUGGAUGACUUUCCUCGCGGUCUUGACCCCUUUCUACGGAGGGGCAUUUCAAUUUGCUGUCAUAUAAGGUCAGCCUGGAAGGAGCGAUCACCAAGAGGCAAGAGGCACCCAGGAUCUUGUUCAGCCAAUAAAUGAAUGGACACCAUGGAUUAAGAGUUGUUGCUGAAUAUACUGAAUAUUAAAAAAGUGAAAAAAGAA